UCCUUAGGAACCACGCCUAACCAAGCCGUCAUCAGCUGCUACCGUUGUGAGGUGUAGUCAUAUAAUCAGAACAGCAGUUCUUCAGACGUCCACAAUGCAGUCGUCAACAGCGACUUUGUCUUUCGACGAAUGCUCGACGUCUUCGAUGAAAAUGAUUACUGCUUCAGAAGGGGAUACAGCGACGGCAUCAACAGCAAUCUCGGCCCCACAAGAAGGUGCCAGCGCCAGAGUGGGUUCUUCAUAUGGGCAGACGUCGUCAACGUACAUCACGGCAUUGACUGGCGAGGGGAGCCGCCUAUAUUUGAAGAUCGUCCAGGUCCCGUGCUGUCGACGUUUAAGCACAGAAAGGAUACGAGCCGUACCGGUACCACCACCCGUUUUAAGAGAUCAAGGAAGAGGAAGCCUGCAAGCACUCACGUUACAAGCUGAUUAGAGCUCUUUCGAAUAUCCUUGUUCGACACCACGUGCAAGUUUUCAUUCGAAGAAACGAAAGCUCGCCGGUUAACCUAAGCGACAAAAAGUAGCGGUUGGAUAGAAAUUAGACAUUAUUAGACAUUAUUUAUUUCAUCAUAAAUUUGUACAUCAACAUAAGCAAACAACUGUCAAUUGAUUGAUGUCAACUGUCAAUUGUCAAACAGUUGAUGUUACGUGUAAUGUUUGGCCAGAGAGAUCCUCCAAAAAAGAACGCAAAACAACUGCGUUGUUACGAGCUCCACUCUAGCACAUCGAAAUUGAUGGGACUUUCACUUGUGGCAACGAGAUCGCAACUGCUACAAAAAAAAUUUACACGUGAUGGAACGUGUUGCCUUCUCUUGAAGCGUAGCUUCCACUUUACUUAUGUACAAGCGAGGACGAAAUAAUGCGGGUUCUGCGAGCGCGUGCCAAUGACGUGUGGGCGCCAGUGACCGGUGACAACGCAUUGCACACUGUGCCACCCGGAAAGAAAGCACCUUCCUGCCGCGAUAAUAUGCUAUCUCCCCGAUUCCGACAGUACGCUGGCAAAGGCUGGGUGUACGGAAGAGAGCGUGAAAACAAAACGCACAUGCGCAACGGCAUGUCCGGACAAAAACAAAAGUGCUCGCUUCGCUAAAGGGCGCAGGAGUGUAGUUCGGGACGCGCUCACAGAUUCCAUGUUAUUUCGCACGCGCUGGUAUGUUCGUGAACUUGAGCAGCAGUGAGAAAGCCGCGGCGAACGUAGAGUGGAAAGUGGAGAAUUUCUCGAGUUCCAGUUUUAACGUGCGACGCCACCCAGCCGCUCCGUCGCAAGGGUUAGAAUAGCAAACCGGUGAGCUAGUCGACGACGUGUUUAAGAGAAUCACAAAAACUGAAGCUUUCGCGAAUAAAAUCGCACGCUGUUCCAUGCGAGUGUUAUGAUAACCACUUGUCACAGCCAAGAGACCCAGGUGGAGUCACUGCGCCACCUUGAAAGAAUACACAGGCACAUGAUGAACGAGAACUUUAUUUUGUAGCGUAGAGAAAACGAAUUAUAGAAGAAUUCACUUAGACGCCGAGGCAUGCACUACGAACGAAUUUCGUAGCAGAUGCAUGCAGUAUUUGCGCGGUUAAAGCAUUAAGAAAUUGGUUGAUCCCUACGCUAGGUUUCAGCUAUUUUUUCCGAGAAAGCAGUGAGCCUGCACGGCAAAGGCAAACCACUUUCGAGGUCAUGCAGCAGGUAACGCCAUUUUUUUUGUCCUUGCUACCCAUUUCAAAGAUAACGAAAUGCUGGGAUCAUAAACAGGGCAAA